rnacentral:rRNA from 1 species
GAAUGGGGGACGUAAGGUAACCCGUUAAGCGAACCGCCUGGGGAGUACGACCGCAAGGUUAAAACUCAAAGGAAUUGACGGGGGAGCGCACAACCGGUGGAGCAUGUGGUUUAAUUCGAUACAAAGCGAAAAACCUUACCUGGGUUUGACAUGUACCUGCACGCUACGUGAAAGCGUAGUUUCUUCGAGAGUGGUACACAGGUGAUGCAUGGCUGUCGUCAGCUCGUGUCGUGAGACGUCCUCUUAAGUGAGGUAACGAGCGCAACCCCUAUCGUCAGUUACAAGUGUCUGGCGAAACUGCCCCCGCUCUGCGGGGGAGGAAGGAGGGGACGACGUCAAGUCAGCAUGUCCCUUACAUCCAGGGCUACACACAUCCUACAAUGGAGCCGACAACAGGUAGCGACGCCGCGAGGCUGAGCUAAUCCUUAUAAACGGCCCCUCAGUUCGGAUUGCAGGCUGCAAUUUGCCUGCAUGAAGCCGGAAUCGGUAGUAAUCGCAAAUCAGCAGGUUGCGGUGAAUACGUUCUCGCUCCUUGUACACACUGCCCGUCAAGCCAGCAAAGUCGGCAGCACCCGAAGCAGGUGAUCCUAAUCCUUUUUGGAGAAGGACCCUACUACGGUGAGGUCGGCG